rnacentral:rRNA from 1 species
UGUGGUUAUAAUAGCAAAGAGGAUACACCUGUUCCCAUUCCGAACACAGAAGUUAAGCUCUUUAGCGCUGUUGGGACUGGGUGAGAAACUGCGUGGGGGAGAAGGACGUAGCCACGU